rnacentral:misc_RNA from 1 species
UUUCCGUAGGUGAACCUGCGGAAGGAUCAUUAAUAAUAAGUGUUUUAUGGCACUUUUUUAAAUCCAUAUCCACCUUGUGUGCAAUGUCAGGGUUGAUUUUUCUCUCGAGAGGAUCAACCCCAAACACCAACUAUAUCUCAACUCUUUGUCUGAAAAAUAUUAUGAAUAAAACAAUUCAAAAUACAACUUUCAACAACGGAUCUCUUGGAUCUU